rnacentral:rRNA from 1 species
CGGGGCCUAUACAUGCAAGUCGAACGCACAGCGAAAGGUGCUUGCACCUUUCAAGUGAGUGGCGAACGGGUGAGUAACACGUGGACAACCUGCCUCAAGGCUGGGGAUAACAUUUGGAAACAGAUGCUAAUACCGAAUAAAACUUAGUGUCGCAUGACACAAAGUUAAAAGGCGCUUCGGCGUUCACCUAGAGAAGGAUCCGCGGGGCAUUAGUUAGUUGGUGGGGUAAAGGCCUACCAAGACAAUGAUGCAUAGCCGAGUGGAGAGACUGAUCGGCCACAUUGGGACUGAGACACGGCCCAAACUCCUACGGGAGGCUGCAGUAGGGAAUCUUCCACAAUGGGCGAAAGCCUGAUGGAGCAACGCCGCGUGUGUGAUGAAGGCUUUCGGGUCGUAAAGCACUGUUGUAUGGGAAGAACAGCUAGAAUAGGAAAUGAUUUUAGUUUGACGGUACCAUACCAGAAAGGGACGGCUAAAUACGUGCCAGCAGCCGCGGUAAUACGUAUGUCCCGAGCGUUAUCCGGAUUUAUUGGGCGUAAAGCGAGCGCAGACGGUUUAUUAAGUCUGAUGUGAAAGCCCGGAGCUCAACUCCGGAAUGGCAUUGGAAACUGGUUAACUUGAGUGCAGUAGAGGUAAGUGGAACUCCAUGUGUAGCGGUGGAAUGCGUAGAUAUAUGGAAGAACACCAGUGGCGAAGGCGGCUUACUGGACUGCAACUGACGUUGAGGCUCGAAAGUGUGGGUAGCAAACAGGAUUAGAUACCCUGGUAGUCCACACCGUAAACGAUGAACACUAGGUGUUAGGAGGUUUCCGCCUCUUAGUGCCGAAGCUAACGCAUUAAGUGUUCCGCCUGGGGAGUACGACCGCAAGGUUGAAACUCAAAGGAAUUGACGGGGACCCGCACAAGCGGUGGAGCAUGUGGUUUAAUUCGAAGCAACGCGAAGAACCUUACCAGGUCUUGACAUCCUUUGAAGCUUUUAGAGAUAGAAGUGUUCUCUUCGGAGACAAAGUGACAGGUGGUGCAUGGUCGUCGUCAGCUCGUGUCGUGAGAUGUUGGGUUAAGUCCCGCAACGAGCGCAACCCUUAUUGUUAGUUGCCAGCAUUCAGAUGGGCACUCUAGCGAGACUGCCGGUGACAAACCGGAGGAAGGGCGGGGACGACGUCAGAUCAUCAUGCCCCUUAUGACCUGGGCUACACACGGGCUACAAUGGCGUAUACAACGAGUUUGCCAACCCGCGAAGGUGAGCUAAUCUCUUAAAGUACCCUCUCAGUUCCGAUUGUAGUCUGCAACUCGACUACAUGAAGUCGGAAUCGCUAGUAAUCGCGGAUCAGCACGCCGCGGUGAAUACGUUCCCGGGUCUUGUACACACCGCCCGUCACACCAUGGGAGUUUGUAAUGCCCAAAGCCGGUGGCCUAACCUUUUAGGAAGGAGCCGUCUAAGGCAGGACAGAUGACUGGGGUGAAGUUCGUAACAA